ACCAGGGGCCGCAACAACUUGUACCCGGUGGAAGACAAGCAGACCAGCUACUACUUCGACAACAAAACGUACUCGCACUUUUGGCGUUACGUCAGCAACGGCAAAUUGUUAACGCUCUUCGCAUACGACACGGGUAGCACGCUGGCAUACAAGGUGAACGAGAUGCUCAAGGCCUACGGAAAAGACAAAUGCGUCGUCCUCGAUGACUUGUCAGAUGACGACGUGCAGGCUAGUUUCACCUACGCUGGUCAUACUGUUUCUUUCGGCAAGUUUGAGAUACUGACGGCUGUGCAGUCAGUUAUGAAGAGGCUCUACGGAGAACCUUUUCCUUGACGCACGCAACGACAUAGGACUUCGUUGCACAGGCACCUCCUACUUGUGAAGUUUCUCAAUCAGCAGCUUUGAACCAAUCACCAAGAAGCUAUUUUCUUCGAGGUGUUUACAAUUGGAGAAUGUUUGUGUUGGAUUAUAGGAUACGAUGUGCUUUGCAAAGUCGGUGGCUACUUGUUGGGCUGAACUUCAGAUUGGAGGCCACAAGCCCUUUGUUGACUAUUGCGCUAUGGACACACUAAACAGUGAUGUUUUUGUGUAGUGACUGUUUUAGAAGUAUAUUUUAAGUAUGUCAUAUUGUACAAUGAACCCUUCACUUUUAUAAUAUGGGAAUAUUUAUCGCUUCAUUGUCGUGAGAUUUACGCUUCAGAAACGACCAUCUACCCAAUUGUGUGUCGUGUUUGUAGUCCUGAUGUUUUUGGUAUUGUUUCGAAGUCUGUAAAAACACACAACAAAAUCUAAUUGCAAAGUGUGUGCUCAUAAAAAUACCGUGAAGGAGGCCAUUCUCGCUUAGACAGGGGUGAGCAUAUUUGUGAUAAGCGACAACACAAGUGUUCCAGAUCUAUUGAAAUUAGAUGGCUAUAUUAUGUCAUUUAGCUGAACAACCUAUUUUUCGCCGAAGAUAACGUGUUUCCUAGGGACGCAUUUUGAAACGUACAUGAGAACGUGCCGCUGUGGAUCGCGGAGUAUUCUGUUGAUGUGUGCGUGUGUUUCACUUUCAGUGCAUAAAUAUUACAUUAAGUUGG